rnacentral:rRNA from 1 species
ACGUAGGGGGCUAGCGUUGCUCGGAAUCACUGGGCGUAAAGCGCACGUGGGCGGACUCUUAAGUCGGGGGUGAAAUCCUGGAGCUCAACUCCAGAACUGCCUUCGAUACUGAGAGCCUUGAGUCCGGGAGAGGUGAGUGGAACUGCGAGUGUAGAGGUGAAAUUCGUAGAUAUUCGCAAGAACACCAGUGGCGAAAGCGACUCUCUGGCCCGUAACUGACGCUGAGGUGCGAAAGCUAGGGGAGCAAACGG